UCGGGAAUUUUGGGCAAUGGGCGAAAGCCUGACCCAGCAACGCCGCGUGAAGGAUGAAGUAUUUCGGUAUGUAAACUUCGAAAGAAUAGGAAGAAUAAAUGACGGUACUAUUUAUAAGGUCCGGCUAACUACGUGCCAGCAGCCGCGGUAAUACGUAGGGACCAAGCGUUGUUCGGAUUUACUGGGCGUAAAGGGCGCGUAGGCGGCAUGACAAGUCACUUGUGAAAUCUCUGGGUUUAACCCAGAACGGCCAAGUGAUACUGUCGCGCUAGAGUGCAGAAGGGGCAAUCGGAAUUCUUGGUGUAGCGGUGAAAUGCGUAGAUAUCAAGAGGAACACCUGAGGUGAAGACGGGUUGCUGGGCUGACACUGACGCUGAGGCGCGAAAGCCAGGGGAGCAAACGGGAUUAGAUACCCGGGUAGUCCCUGAGCGGGCUGGCAAGGCGCAU
rnacentral:rRNA from 1 species